rnacentral:rRNA from 1 species
CCUACGGGUGGCAGCAGUGGGGGAUAUUGCACAAUGGGGGAAACCCUGAUGCAGCGACGCCGCGUGUGGGAAGACGGUCCUCUGGAUUGUAAACCACUGUCCCCAGGGACGAAGAUGACGGUACCUGGGGAGGAAGCUCCGGCUAACUACGGGCCAGCAGCCGCGGUAAUACGUGGGGGGCGAGGUUUGUCCGGAAUUACUGGGUGUAAAGGGAGCGUAGGCGGGACUGCAAGUUGGGUGGCAAAUCUAGCGGCUCAACCGGUAGCCGCACUGAAAACUGCAGUUCGUGAGUGAAGUAGAGGCAGGCGGAAUUCCUAGUGUAGCGGUGAAAUGCGUAGAUAUUAGGAGGAACACCAGUGGCGAAGGCGGGCUGCUGGGCUUUUACUGACGCUGAGGCUCGAAAGUGUGGGGAGCAAACAGGAUUAGAUACCCGUGUAGUC